rnacentral:RNase_P_RNA from 1 species
CUAGAUGAACGACUUAUCGCUUUAAUUUAUUAAAGAGGAAAGUCCGGGCUCCGCAAAGACACAGUGCCAGAUAAUACCUGGCGGGGGAAACCCUAGGGAUAGUGCCACAGAAAAUAUACCGCCAUAACAUGGCAAGGGUGAAAAGGUGUGGUAAGAGCGCACCGGUUC